GAUGAACGCUGGCGGCGUGCCUAACACAUGCAAGUCGAACGGAGUUACGAGAGCUUGCUUUUGUAACUUAGUGGCGAACGGGUGAGUAAUGCGUGAGCAACCUGCCCUUCAGAGGGGAACAACAGUUGGAAACGACUGCUAAUACCGCAUAAUGUAUUUAGGAGGCGUCUCCUGGAUACCAAAGGAGAAAUCCGCUGAAGGAUGGGCUCACGUCUGAUUAGCUAGUUGGUGAGGUAAACGGCCCACCAAGGCGACGAUCAGUAGCCGGACUGAGAGGUUGAACGGCCACAUUGGGACUGAGAUACGGCCCAGACUCCUACGGGAGGCAGCAGUGGGGAAUAUUGCACAAUGGGGGAAACCCUGAUGCAGCGACGCCGCGUGAGUGAAGAAGUAUUUCGGUAUGUAAAGCUCUAUCAGCAGGGAAGAAAAUGACGGUACCUGACUAAGAAGCCCCGGCUAACUACGUG
rnacentral:rRNA from 1 species